AGAGUUUGAUCCUGGCUCAGGACGAACGCUGGCGGCGUGCCUAAUACAUGCAAGUCGAACGAACUCUGGUAUUGAUUGGUGCUUGCAUCAUGAUUUACAUUUGAGUGAGUGGCGAACUGGUGAGUAACACGUGGGAAACCUGCCCAGAAGCGGGGGAUAACACCUGGAAACAGAUGCUAAUACCGCAUAACAACUUGGACCGCAUGGUCCGAGUUUGAAAGAUGGCUUCGGCUAUCACUUUUGGAUGGUCCCGCGGCGUAUUAGCUAGAUGGUGGGGUAACGGCUUCACCAUGGCAAUGAUACGUAGCCGACCUGAGAGGGUAAUCGGCCACAUUGGGACUGAGACACGGCCCAAACUCCUACGGGAGGCAGCAGUAGGGAAUCUUCCACAAUGGACGAAAGUCUGAUGGAGCAACGCCGCGUGAGUGAAGAAGGGUUUCGGCUCGUAAAACUCUGUUGUUAAAGAAGAACAUAUCUGAGAGUAACUGUUCAGGUAUUGACGGUAUUUAACCAGAAAGCCACGGCUAACUACGUGCCAGCAGCCGCGGUAAUACGUAGGUGGCAAGCGUUGUCCGGAUUUAUUGGGCGUAAAGCGAGCGCAGGCGGUUUUUUAAGUCUGAUGUGAAAGCCUUCGGCUCAACCGAAGAAGUGCAUCGGAAACUGGGAAACUUGAGUGCAGAAGAGGACAGUGGAACUCCAUGUGUAGCGGUGAAAUGCGUAGAUAUAUGGAAGAACACCAGUGGCGAAGGCGGCUGUCUGGUCUGUAACUGACGCUGAGGCUCGAAAGUAUGGGUAGCAAACAGGAUUAGAUACCCUGGUAGUCCAUACCGUAAACGAUGAAUGCUAAGUGUUGGAGGGUUUCCGCCCUUCAGUGCUGCAGCUAACGCAUUAAGCAUUCCGCCUGGGGAGUACGGCCGCAAGGCUGAAACUCAAAGGAAUUGACGGGGGCCCGCACAAGCGGUGGAGCAUGUGGUUUAAUUCGAAGCUACGCGAAGAACCUUACCAGGUCUUGACAUACUAUGCAAAUCUAAGAGAUUAGACGUUCCCUUCGGGGACAUGGAUACAGGUGGUGCAUGGUUGUCGUCAGCUCGUGUCGUGAGAUGUUGGGUUAAGUCCCGCAACGAGCGCAACCCUUAUUAUCAGUUGCCAGCAUUAAGUUGGGCACUCUGGUGAGACUGCCGGUGACAAACCGGAGGAAGGUGGGGAUGACGUCAAAUCAUCAUGCCCCUUAUGACCUGGGCUACACACGUGCUACAAUGGAUGGUACAACGAGUUGCGAACUCGCGAGAGUAAGCUAAUCUCUUAAAGCCAUUCUCAGUUCGGAUUGUAGGCUGCAACUCGCCUACAUGAAGUCGGAAUCGCUAGUAAUCGCGGAUCAGCAUGCCGCGGUGAAUACGUUCCCGGGCCUUGUACACACCGCCCGUCACACCAUGAGAGUUUGUAACACCCAAAGUCGGUGGGGUAACCUUUUAGGAACCAGCCGCCUAAGGUGGGACAGAUGAUUAGGGUGAAGUCGUAACAAGGUAACC
rnacentral:rRNA from 4 species